UCCUUGCCAGAAGAAAAACCUUUUCCUCAAGAUUCAAGUUGAUGAAUUGGUCUUGCAAUUCUUCUAAUACCCAUGCUUCUUGGUUUUCCAUUUAUCUAGGUGCCUCGUGCUCGGUGUCUUUUUCUUCUAUGUUGCCUUCGAAAAGCAAUAGUUGGGAUUGGUGACAUCUGUGGCCGAUUGAAAAUUUUUCACCAAAGUUAAAGCAC
rnacentral:lncRNA from 1 species